rnacentral:antisense_RNA from 1 species
GCUUCCCGCAUCCCACCUCAGGGUUGCCUCCUGGUACCUUCCCGUGUAGGAAAAUGAUUUUGUCCCGCGCAGACUCCCUCAGCACUUUCUGCAGUCUGAAGCCGGAGAACGGAAUACAGUCGUCUGCCAGAAGAAAAAUGCUGAUUCUUCCCAGUCCAAAGGUGAUGAUGGUGACUGUGAAAGUAUCAGCUUUAGCCAGACCACUGAUGAAGCUCCCAGAUGUCACAGCAUCCAUAGGCUUGUGAUCUCAGGUGAAGGCGUUGAACCCUGAGCCCUGGCUUCCCAUCUCUUCACUUGUUCCGUCCACCACCCCACCCCCAUAUUCAGAUGGCUUCUAGGCUUCUAGGUUUGUGUCUUUAAUGGCACUUAGGCAAUAAAUAAAAAAUACAGUGCAGUGCUGACUGCAUCUUCCCUA